CAGGUAAACUGCUGUGCCGCCAGAGAUGCCCAUGCCAUGGUACAUGGCGGCCAUCUUGAGUACCCCAGACCAGUAGUGGGUAUGUUAAACCCACACAGCACUUUGACAUGGCAGGGCUCUCUUACAAGCCAGCGCUGUACCAGCAGCACAAGCGAUUCAGCAGUGAAAUGAUCAGCCAAUCGGCAGACACUCCCUGCUGAGCGCUCGGCUGGAGAGCCUGAAGAGGCCCUGGGAAUUUCUGCACUCGCUGAUGAUUUGAGCCGUGCGGUUGCACCACACCUCAUCAGGCGAGCCAGAGCGGGGUUUCCCUUUGAUUUCUCCAUUUCGAAUCGAGCCAUUAAGGUCUGAUUCCUCAUGCUGUCACAAGUGCUGAAUUAAUCAAACUGAGACCACGCCAGCCUGCGCAUGUGCCAGCCUCAGCACUGAGCGUCAUCCUGGUGCUGGUCACGGCGGCUCCACCGCGCUCCACCUCAUCUGGGCCACAACUGAGCCACAACUGAGCCGCGCUCCACCUCAUUUGGGCCACAACUGAGCCACAACAGAGCCGCGCUUGUGCCUGUAGCAACACUGUCUCCUCUCCAGGGCGGGUUCGGUCGGCCACUGAGUAGUGUGCUUGCUGGCCUUACCAGGACCUCACACACACACACACACACGCACACACAC